rnacentral:rRNA from 1 species
GCGAACGAAGAUGGCUGUUCCAAGCACGCACACGACCCCCUCGAAGGCGAUUGGGGGAGCUGCUCCAUCACGCGUCUUCAACUGAGCCGCCUCUCGAUCCAAGGGUAUCUUUCGGAUCCUGAUCUGGCCUCCACUCGUCGGGGGUUAGUAUCCAUGGACGGGCAGACGCACGCCGAUAGCCACCCCGUCCCUCAUGGAGACGAACGGGUAUGCUUCGUCCCUUUCCUCCUCUGUGGGCUAGGAUUUCCAAUCCACCCCUUCCUUCGCGGGCUGCUCAAGUCUAUGGGAUCCAACUCCGCCAUCUGA